AAGUCGUAACAAGGUCUCCGUAGGUGAACCUGCGGAGGGAUCAUUACCGAGUUAGGGUCUCACCGGCCCGAUCUCCCAACCCUUUGUCUACUUGACCAUCGUUGCUUCGGCGAGCCCGUCCUCACGGACCGCCGGGGGUCUUUGUACCCCUUGGCCCGCGCUCGUCGAUAGCCCCCAAAUUUAAAAAAUCUUAACUAAACGUGUCUUGAAUCUAAGUAUUAUUGUUAAAUAAAAACAAAACUUUCAACAACGGAUCUCUUGGUUCUGGCAUCGAUGAAGAACGCAGCGAAAUGCGAUAAGUAAUGCGAAUUGCAGAAUUCCAGUGAGUCAUCGAAUCUUUGAACGCACAUUGCGCCCUUUGGUAUUCCGAAGGGCAUGCCUGUUCGAGCGUCAUUAUCACCCCUCAAGCCCUCGGCUUGGUGUUGGACGGUUUGGUGGAGACCCCCCUCGGGUGGGCUUCUACCCCUCCCAAAGACAAUGACGGCGGCCUCGUUGGACCCCCGGUACACUGAGUUCUUCACGGGACACGUAUCGGACACAUGGGUUUACGGGACACGGUCUGCCUCCCCUCAGGGAGAAUCUUUUUUUAUCAAGGUUGACCUCGGAUCAGGUAGGGAUACCCGCUGAACUUAA
rnacentral:rRNA from 1 species